rnacentral:rRNA from 1 species
UACUACUGUCCACCCUGAACGAGCCUGAUCCCAUCUGAUCUCAGAAGCUAAGCAGGGUGGGGCCUGAUUAGUACUUGGAUGGGAGACCACCUAGGAAGACCAAGUGCUGUAGGCA